CUGGCUGGUAAAACGGCCUGUAUCUUCAUUUCAGUGGUGUUUCCAUGAAUCUACACCUGUGUUAAAAUAACAGAACUAUAUACAUACACGGCACUAACGUUAGUUUCCUGGUUUGACGUUGUGCUGUAUUUCUCUCAUUUGUAAUCACUGGGGGAAACCGGAUGAAGGGUGCACAGGACCUCUUUGUAAUUAUUUUUGCAACUUCCUGUGAAUCUAUCAUUAUUCCAAAAUAGAAGUUUAAAAAAACAGUUAAAUCAACAUCAAAUCAACUAUAAAUGAGUCAAGAUUUCUAGCUGGAGGAAACACAAGCGUGGGCAGGUGAGAAGAGGAUCCUACUAUUAAGCCAGACACUUGAACAUUUACGUCUCAUUUUGAUUUGCUGAGUUCUGCAUAGGAACAGGGAAGUCAGUGGUAAGCCUGUGAAGGGGACGGCAGCUGACAGCUGGCUAUUGAUCCCAAGAGGACCCAUGACUAACGUUCUCACGAAGCCAGGGAUGAGUCUCACGGGUGUCCAGGUCUGAGCAGUGUUACGUCAAAUGCACCCCAGGAGGAGGGACCUUCAGGACUCUGUCCACUCUGUCCUCCAUCCAGCAUCCUAAAUCUCAUCUAUUUGGCGAAUGUCAACACAUGUGAGUCCAAGACCCACGACAAUCAACGCCUCCACAACCGGCUCCUGGGAC